GCCGGGAUGGCGGAAUCGGUAGACGCAUCCGACUUAAAAUCGGCCGCUGCAAGGCGUGCGGGUUCAAGUCCCGCUCUCGGCACCA
rnacentral:tRNA from 1 species